UUCUUUUCUCUCUUUUUUUCUCGGUAGAAGCGGAUGUUUCUACACAGUUUUUCUUUUCUUUUUGUUGCACUCUCCCCUUUUUCAAAAUUUCUUCUAAGGAUUACCACCCCAAACUUAUCUUUUUGCACAAAUUUUUCACUACAACAAUCAUGCUGAGCGAGGGUAGGAAGUGCUUGGCUUAUGGUUAACAUGACGGUUUACACAA
rnacentral:lncRNA from 1 species